ensembl:lncRNA
AAUGAAUUAAAGGAGAAACAGUGCGAGGGAGGAGUAAAGAACACUUGCUCAGAGUGGGUGAGUCAGUCACCUGCCGUUUGGCCCCCUCAUCAUAUGACACACGGUGGCACAGCACGGCUGUCAUCGACUCCGCCGAGCUUGGAUCAGCACAAACUGCAACAGAGUUAAGGUCCCAAGAAGUUGAUUCUGUUCAUGUGGAUGUAGUGUUUUCAGUGAGAGAAAUGUUCCAUCACUCAUGUGGGCGGCCCGGAUGUAAGUGGGACAUUGAACACAUUUAUUCUUUUCUUUUUCAGCUAUUCUGUUGUUAUUUGAUGGCGUCCAUGAAAUUAUCUUGACGUUUUCCACAUGUGAAUAAUCUUUUAUACCAUAGAAUGAUGAACUCCUCCCAGGUUGAUGGGCACCAGCAAUUGUUUUUUCAUAUCUGAACAUUGUGUUAGCACAUAUCUGAAUGCUCCAGAUAAACAAAGUGACAGAACUUGUUUUUUUUUUUUCUUUCAAUCGGUCGAUCAAUGAAUCCAGUCCAGAGGUUCCAGCCUCCUGCUUAAUUCCUAUUGAAGAGGUAAGGCUGUACUUUGCGUGCACUGCUUCUGCAUUUUGACUUUUUUUUUUGUUCAGUCAAUGACACUGUGUAAUAGUCUGUGGUUCAUCUGAGGUUUACCUAAUUUUACGACAUUGUAGGGACCAAAUUAUUUAAUUAUGGCCUGAUAUAUAAAACUUGAGAGUUUAAAGAGGGUAUACUUUCUUUUUUCCAUGACUGUACCUAUAACAAUAAUA